rnacentral:rRNA from 1 species
AUUGAACGCUGGCGGCAGGCCUAACACAUGCAAGUCGAGCGGAUGAAGGGAGCUUGCUCCUGGAUUCAGCGGCGGACGGGUGAGUAAUGCCUAGGAAUCUGCCUUGCAGUGGGGGAUAACGUCCGGACACGGGCGCUAAUACCGCAUACGUCCUGAGGGAGAAAGUGGGGGAUCUUCGGACCUCACGCUAUCAGAUGAGCCUAGGUCGGAUUAGCUAGUUGGUGGGGUAAAGGCCUACCAAGGCGACGAUCCGUAACUGGUCUGAGAGGAUGAUCAGUCACACUGGAACUGAGACACGGUCCAGACUCCUACGGGAGGCAGCAGUGGGGAAUAUUGGACAAUGGGCGAAAGCCUGAUCCAGCCAUGCCGCGUGUGUGAAGAAGGUCUUCGGAUUGUAAAGCACUUUUAGUUGGGAAGAAGGGCAGUAAGUUAAUACCUGGCUGUUUUGACGUUACCAACAGAAUAAGCACCGGCUAACUACGUG